UGAGGUGUUAAGAUCUGAGCACAUUCUAUGAGCCUCUUCACCCUGCAUUUCGAUCUCCUUUCCCCUGCUCUCCCCUGCGACCAUUGUAGUUGCUAGAUUUUCAUUAAAGCCUGAAGUUGAUGGAUAAUUUGGUGUUGGCUCAAUGCCAUGAAUCUCCUCGAAUUUCUCUUCAAAUUGACUGACAAGAUAAACAUCUAUGGGACCCAU
rnacentral:misc_RNA from 1 species